UUGACCUCGGAUCAGGUAGGGAUACCCGCUGAACUUAAGCAUAUCAAUAAGCGGAGGAAAAGAAACCAACAGGGAUUGCCUUAGUAACGGCGAGUGAAGCGGCAAUAGCUCAAAUUUGAAAGCUGGCGUCUUCGACGUCCGCGUUGUAAUUUGUAGAGGAUGCUUCGGCGAAGACUCCUGCCUAAGUCCCCUGGAACGGGGCGUCAUAGAGGGUGAGAAUCCCGUAUGUGGCGGGCAGUCUAAGCCAUGUGAAGCUCCUUCGACGAGUCGAGUUGUUUGGGAAUGCAGCUCUAAAUGGGAGGUAAAUUUCUUCUAAAGCUAAAUAUUGGCCAGAGACCGAUAGCGCACAAGUAGAGUGAUCGAAAGAUGAAAAGCACUUUGGAAAGAGAGUUAAAAAGUACGUGAAAUUGUUGAAAGGGAAGCGCUUGCAACCAGACUCGCUCGUAGUUGCUCAGCCGGCCUCUUGGCCGGUGUACUCUUCUACGAUCGGGCCAGCAUCAGUUCGGGCGGCAGGAUAAAGGUGUCGGGAAUGUAGCACCCUUCGGGGUGUGUUAUAGCCCGGCGCGGAAUGCUGCCAGCCUGGACUGAGGAUCUCGCUUCGGCAAGGAUGCUGGCGUAAUGGUUGUAAGCGGCCCGUCUU
rnacentral:rRNA from 1 species